rnacentral:rRNA from 1 species
CCUACGGGAGGCAGCAGUGGGGAAUAUUGCACAAUGGGGGGAACUCUGAUGCAGCGACGCCGCGUGGGUGAAGGAGUAUUUCGGUAUGUAAAGCCCUAUCAGCAGGGAAGAACAAUGACGGUAGCUGACUAAGAAGCACCGGCUAAAUACGUGCCAGCAGCCUCGGUAAUACGUAUGGUGCACGCGUUAUCCGGAUUUACUGGGGGUAAAGGGAGCGCAGGCGGCGCGUUAAGCCUGGUGUCAAAGCCCGCGGCCCAACCGCGGGACUGCAUUGGGAACUGGCGCGCUGGAGUGCGGGGGGGGUAGGCGGAAUUCCUAGUGUAGCGGUGAAAUGCGUAGAUAUUAGGAGGAACACCAGUGGCGAAGGCGGCCUACUGGACGGUGACUGACGCUGAGGCUCGAAAGCGUGGGGAGCAAACAGGAUUAGAUACCCUAGUAGUC